UACGGGGGGAGCAAGCGUUGUUCGGAUUUACUGGCGUAAAGGGCGCGUAGGCGGUCAGCACAAGUCAGUUGUGAAAUCUCCGGGCUUAACUCGGAAAGGUCAACUGAUACUGUGCGACUAGAGUGCGGAAGGGGCAACUGGAAUUCUCGGUGGUAGCGGUGAAAUGCGUAGAUAUCGAGAGGAACACCUGCGGCGAAGGCGGGUUGCUGGGCCGACACUGACGCUGGAUGCGCGAAAGCCAGGGGAGCGAACGGG
rnacentral:rRNA from 1 species